ACGUACAUUAUUGGGUUUAAGGGUUCGUAGGCGGUUUUGUAAGUCAGUGGUGAAAUUUCCUAGCUUAACUAGGACACUGCCAUUGAUACUGCAGAGCUUGAAUAAUAUGGAAGUAACUAGAAUAUGUAGUGUAGCGGUGAAAUGCUUAGAUAUUACAUGGAAUACCAAUUGCGAAGGCAGGUUACUACGUAUUUAUUGACGCUGAUGAACGAAAGCGUGGGGAGCGAACAGGAUUAGAUACCCUGGUAGUCCACGCCGUAAACGAUGGAUACUAGCUGUUCGGUUUUCGGACUGAGUGGCUAAGCGAAAGUGAUAAGUAUCCCACCUGGGGAGUACGUUCGCAAGAAUGAAACUCAAAGGAAUUGACGGGGGCCCGCACAAGCGGUGGAGCAUGUGGUUUAAUUCGAUGAUACGCGAGGAACCUUACCAGGGCUUAAAUGUAGAUUGACAGAUUUGGAAACUUAUUUUUCUUCGGACAAUUUACAAGGUGCUGCAUGGUUGUCGUCAGCUCGUGCCGUGAUGUGUCAGGUUAAGUCCUAUAACGAGCGCAACCCCUAUUGUUAGUUACCAUCGCGUUAAAGCAGGGACUCUAUCAAGACUGCCGGUGCAAACCGUGAGGAAGGUGGGGAUGACGUCAAAUCAUCUCGGCCCUUACGUUCUGGGCUACACACGUGCUACAAUGGCAAGUACAAAAAGCAGCUACCUGGCAACAGGAUGCGAAUCUCCAAAGCUUGUCUCAGUUCGGAUUGGAGUCUGCAACUCGACUCUGAAGCUGGAAUCGCUAGUAAUCGGAUAUCAGCAUGAAUCGGUGAAUACGUUCCUGGCUUGUACACAACCGCCGUCAAGCAUGAAGGUGGGUGUACUGAAAUCGAUGACUACAGAGCUGGCUAGGGUACACUAGUGACUAGCUAAGUCGUAGCAGGUAAACUAAAGUAUAUAUUGUUGAGUUUGAUCAUGGCUCAGGAUGAGCGCUAGCGGCAGGCCUAACAUAUGCAAGUCGAGGGGUAGAAAGAGCUUGCUUUUUUGAGACGGGCGCACGGGUGAGUAAUGCGUAUGCAACCUACCUUAUACAGGGGAAUAGCCCGAAGAAGUUCGGAUUAAUGCUCCAUGGUUUAUCGAUAUGGCAUCGUAUUGAUAAUAAAGAUUUAUCGGUAUAAGAUGAGCUUGCGUAUCAUUAGCUAGUUGGUGUGGUAACGGCAUACCAAGGCACCGAUGAUUAGGGGUCAUGAGAGGGAGAUCCCCCGCACUGGUAACGAGACCCGGACCAGACUCGUACGGGACGCAGCAGUGUGGAAUAUUGGUCAAUGGAGGCAACUCUGAACCAGCCAUGCCGAGUGCAGGAUGACGGUCCUAUGGAUUGUAAACUGCUUUUGAACAGGAAGAAACCUCUAUUCGAGUAGAGACUUGACGGUACCGUAAGAAUAAGCAUCGGCUAACUCCGUGCCAGCAGCCGCGGUAAUACGGAGGAUGCGAGCGUUAUUCGGAAUUAUUGGGUUUAAAGGGUUCGUAGGCGGCUUUGUAAGUCAGAGGUGAAAUUUCCGGGCUUAACUUGGACACUGCCAUUGAUACUGCAGAGCUUGAAUAAUAUGGAAGUAACUAGAAUAUGUAGUGUAGCGGUGAAAUGCGUAGAUAUUGCAGGAAAUACCAAUUGCGAAGCCGCGUCACUACGUAAUACUGACGUUGAGCACGAG
rnacentral:rRNA from 1 species